CUUUUUUAGCUCACCUGGCCCAAAGGGCCAAGUGAGCUUUUCUCAGCACUUGGCGUCCGGCGUCCGUCGUCCGUCGUCUGUCGUCCGUCGUCUGUCGUCCGUCGUCGUCUGGCGUCGUUAACUUUUACAAAAAUCUUCUGCUCUGAAACUACUGGGCCAAAUUUAACCAAACUUGGCCACAAUCAUCAUUGGGGUAUCUAGUUUAAAAAAUGUGUCUGGUGACCCGGUCAACCAACCAAGAUGGCCGCCAUGGCUAAAAAUAGAACAUAGGGGUAAAAUGCAGUUUUUGGCUUAUAACUCAAAAACCAAAGCAUUUAGAGCAAAUCUGACAAGGGGUAAAAUUGUUCAUCAGGUCAAGAUCUAUCUGCCCUGAAAUUUUCAGAUGAAUCGGACAACCCGUUGUUGGGUUGCUGCCCCUGAAUUGGUAAUUUUAAGGAAAUUUUACUGUUUUUGGUUAUUAUCUUGAAUAUUAUUAUAGAUAGAGAUAAACUGUAAACAGCAAUAAUGUUCAGCAAAGUAAGAUUUACAAAUAAGUCAACCUGACCCAAAUGGUCAGUUGACCCCUUUAGGAGUUAUUGCCCUUUAUAGUCAAUUUUUAACCAUUUUUCGUAAAUCUUAGUUAUCUUUUAGAAAAAUCUUUCUCCUCUGAAACUACUGGGCCAAAUUAAAAACAAACUUGGCCACAAUCAUCAUUGGGGUAUCUAGUUUAAAAAAUGUGUCCGGUGACCCGGCCAACUAACCAAGAUGGCCACCACGGCUAAAAAUAGAACAUAGGGGUAAAAUGCAGUUUUUGGCUUAUAACUCAAAAACUAAAGCAUUUAGAGCAAAUCUGACAUGGGGUAAAAUUGUUUAUAGGGUCAAGAUCUAUCUGCCCUGAAAUUUUCAGAUGAAUCGGACAACCUGUUGUUGGGUUGCUGCCCCUGAAUUGGUAAUUUUGAGGAAAUUUUUGCCGUUUUUGGUUAUUAUCUUGAAUAUUAUUAUCGAUAGAGAUAAACAGUAAACAGCAAUAAUGUUCAGCAAAGUUAGAUUUACAAAUAAGUCAACAUGACUGAAAUGGUCAGUUGACCCCUUAAGGAGUUAUUGCCCUUUAUAGUCAAUUUUUAACCAUUUUUCAUAAAUCUAAGUAAUCUUUUACAAAAAUCUUCUCCUCUGAAACUAAUGGGCCAAAUUAAUCCAAAGUUGGCCACAAUCAUCUUUUGGGGUAUUUAGUUUAAAAAAUGUGUGGCGUGACCCAGUCAACCAACCAAGAUGGCUGCCACGGCUAAAAAUAGAACAUAGGGGUAAAAUGCAGUUUUUGGCUUAUAACUCAAAAA
rnacentral:lncRNA from 1 species